rnacentral:lncRNA from 1 species
AGCCACUAAAAUACAAGCCUUGCUAAGAUCCUAGCUAGCUCUUAGAUGAUAAUUUCAAAAUCUCAUUACUUGUUAAACCUAACAAGUCAUGUCAGUACAUGGGAAAUCAAAAAACUCUCUUUUGAGAAGGAGACUGCAAGAUAAAACGAUUUUUCAUGGCUUAGUCAAACCAAGAAAUUCUUGGAAACUAAAACAUAAACCAAAAACAAGAAAUUCUUGGAAACCUAAAAGCUUCAUCUAUAAAUACUAGGUUGUUCACUCUCAAACCAAAACCUUCCUUUCUCACCCAUUCCUACCAUCUUCAAAAUGGAUUCUUAUGAUCCAGACUGGAAAAAGGUGAUGGAUCUCAUCACAGGGAAGAAGCAAGUAAGUCAAUCCGAGAUAACUAC